AGCGGGACUCGCGGAGCGGCACUGGGCAUGCUCAGUCGCCGGAUCCCGUCUUGAGCUCAAGUAGGAAGCUCGUGCGCUGCACCCGCAGCUGAUCCGGGCGCUCCGGGGAGGGCGAGACUGGAGCAGAGCUGCCGGGCGCCGGAGCCGAGGCGAGCGCCGCGCGCACCGCCGUGUGUUACCAGGUGUGGGAUGCCCCGGAAGGGUAUGACCCCAGGCAGACGAGGCAGCUCUCUGCAGCUGAGGCUGACCUGAGGAACUGGCUGGGCCCUGGCAUCGUCUACCUGCAGCUGCUCAGUGAGUCUUAGCAGUGCAUCUCCCCAUCUACCACUAGACACUGUGCUUAGUGCUGCGUAUGUAUCAACUCCUAUUAACUUGCAACAACCACAGGAGGUGUUGAGACCAUAUUAUCCUCAUUUUACAGAGGAAGAAACUGAAACUCGCCCAAGGCGAUACAGCUGGAAGUUUAGCCCUGAGCUAACAUCUGCUGCCAAUCCUCCUCUUUUUGCCAAGGAAGACUGGCCCUGAGCUAACAUCCGUGACCAUCUUCCUCUGCUUUAUAUGUGGGACGCCUACCACAGCAUGGCUUGCCAAGAGGUGCCAUGUCUGCACCUGGGAUCCGAACCGGUGAACCCCGGGCUGCCGAAGCAGAAUGUGUGUACUUAACCGCUGUGCCACCGGG
rnacentral:lncRNA from 1 species